rnacentral:rRNA from 1 species
AGAACGAACGCUGGCGGCAUGCCUAAUACGUGCAAGUCGAACGAACACUUCGGUGUUAGUGGCGCACGGGUGCGUAACGCGUGGGAAUCUGCCCUUGGGUUCGGAAUAACAGUUGGAAACGACUGCUAAUACCGGAUGAUGACGAAAGUCCAAAGAUUUAUCGCCAAGGGGAUGGAGCCCGCGUAGGAUUAGCUAGUUGGUGAGGUAAAGGCUCACCAAGGCAACGAUCCUUAGCUGGUCUGAGAGGAUGAUCAGCCACGCUGGGACUGAGACACGGCCCAGACUCCUACGGGAGCAGCAGUAGGGAAUAGUGGACAGUGGGACGAAAGCCUGAUCCAGCAAUGCCGCGUGAGUGAGUGAAGGUCCGUUAGGUUAGUAAACGCUUACGUUUACCCGAG